GCAUUAGUAGCUCAAUUUAGAGCGCCGGUCUUGUAAACCGGAAGCUGGAGGUUAAAAUCCACCCUACUGCU
rnacentral:tRNA from 1 species